AGACAACUUGGGAGGGGAUGAGAACUGUGUGAUGAUGAGUAAGACUGGUGGAUGGACUGACACUGGCUGCAACUCUCAGAAGUCCUUCUUCUGCUGUGAGGAUUCAGACCCCACAAGCCCCCCUUCCACUCCGGUCUCUCAAGAAGGAGAAUCCUCGAGCCCCCCUUCCACUCCGCUCUCUCAAG